UGAAACUCCCUCAAAAAUGAAGUUACAGAUCAGUCCACAGAACAGGUAUAGCAUGGGCAGCUGCAGCCCAAGCUUCCCUACACUGCUCCACCAGUCUUCUGUCACCCUGACCUGGGAAAUAUCAUCUUUAGGAUUCAGAGGGUGUCAUAAGGUAUAUUUCCCAAAUCUGAACCU
rnacentral:sRNA from 1 species